CCUACGGGUGGCAGCAGUGAGGAAUAUUGGUCAAUGGGCGCGAGCCUGAACCAGCCAAGUCGCGUGAGGGAAGAAGGUCCUAUGGAUUGUAAACCUCUUUGGUCGGGGAGCAAAAGACGCCACGCGAGGAGUUCCGAGAGUACCCGAAGAAAAAGCAUCGGCUAACUCCGUGCCCGCAGCCGCGGUAAUACGGAGGAUGCGAGCGUUCUCCGGAUGUAGUGGGGUUACAGGGUGCGCAGGCGGAAGAUCAAGUCAGCGGUAAAAUUGAUAGGCUCAACCUCUUCGCGCCGUUGAAACUGGUUUUCUUUAGUGUGCGAGACGUAUGCGGACUGCGUGGUGUAGCGGUGAAAUGCAUAGAUCUCACGC
rnacentral:rRNA from 1 species